CCCUACGGGGUGCAGCAGGAGCGAAAAGGCUUCGCCGUCGGCAUGAGGAUAGAGCACCCUGCGGAGCUCAUCAAUGAUAUCCAGUACGGGAAAUCGCGCUACCGGGACCGGCUCCCCGCCGCCGAGUAUCUCCUGACCCAUACCAAUCAGGCAACAGGCAGGGGUGUCUACUCAUUCUGCAUGUGCCCGGGCGGCAGGGUCAUCAAUUCGUCGUCGGAGCAGGGAAGGCUCUGCACCAACGGGAUGAGCUUUUCAAAGAGGGAUCAUCCCUUUUCGAAUGCGGCCAUUGUCGUCACGGUCGCUCCCGACGACAUCGGGAAAGACCCGCUCGGCGGGAUCGGACUGCAGCGGGAUAUUGAAGGGGGCGCCUAUGAGGCGGGAGAGC
rnacentral:rRNA from 1 species